CCACUCCUAAAUCCAUGCAAUGAUUCUAUGGAUUUUUGGAUGGCCACCUGAAGACUAAAGCUGGUUUUCCCUUUUGUGGUGCUGGCCUUCAUCAGUGUAGGUAAUUAUCAUUUGUUUAUUCUCUAAUUCACUCAUUCAUUUGACAGGCACUGACUGAGUGCCUCCUGGAUGACUAAUAUUGUGCUGAAUUAAUCCUUAGUGACUGUAUCAUUUAAUGAGGAAGACAAAUAAAUAAGUGUUUUGGUGCUAUGAAAAGAGUCUGCCCAGAGCACAGAGGAGAUACAAAAUGAAGCUGUUGAUUCUGCCUGCAGGAACAGGAAUUGCUUUAUGAAGGUGUCACAGAAAUUACAGCUGAAUCUUGGAAGGCUUUCCUGCAGACUGGAUACUUUUUUAGGGCAUACGCCACAGGAUCGUGACUUCAAUUUUAAAUCCAAGGUACAGUGGUCUGGUGAAAUUAAUAUUCUCAAUCUGAAUCUAGAUUUAUAUAGUAUUUACUCUUAAAAUUUAGCAGUGGUCUACCUUUGUUUUAUGUACAUGAUAUAAAUUUGGUUAGAGAAAAACAUUUUAUAGAAAUAUGACUAGGUAAAUUUUUUUUUUUUAAUUUGGUAAAUAAGAGAAAACUGAUAGAGGGAACGGGAACUGAAAAAAAGAAUGGGUUGGAAAAACACAUAACGGCAGGAAAAUUUUAUUACCAAAAGCUUCCCCAUGAUAGAGGAGAUGUGAAAUUUGGUCACAGUUUAUUGGGAUAAUGAUCCUUACUGUGAGUUUUAAACCGUACUAACUGACAUUUUUUUUUUUUUUAAUGGAGUCUUGCUCUGUAGCCCAGGCUGGAGUGCAGUGGUGCAAUCUUGGCUUACUGCAACUGCUGCCUCCUGGGUCCUGGUUCAAGCGAUUCUCCUGCCUCAGCCUCCUGAGUAGCUGAGAUUACAGGCACAUGCCAUCAAGGCUAGCUAAUUUUUGUAUUUUUAGUAGAGACAGGGUUUCACCACGUUGGCCAGGUUGGUCUUGAACUUCUGACCUCGUGAUCUACCCUCCUUGGCCUUCCAAAGUGCUGGGAUUACAGGCAUGAGCCACCAUGCUCAGUCUAGACGGUACUAAUAUCUACCUCUUAGGUAUGCAUAAUGAACAAAUGUGGUAAAAAAUGUGAAAACAUUUUGUAAACUAGAAUGUGUGUGUACAAAUAUGAGAUAAAAUGAAUCACAGUGGGAUUCAGUGCCUUAAUAAAUAUUGCGAGUCUUUUUUUUUUUUUUUACCCGUAGUCAGUACUGUCAAGAGAACAAUGAAGAAGUAUAGCAUUAGGUCUGUGGAUUUCCAGUCUGGGGUAGGUUAAGUUUUAGCGGUCUAAUACUGGUGACAUCCUAUGGGAAUUGAGUGAUUUGUCAUCCAAGACCUCCUGAUAAGAUUGUAAAUGUUUUGGCCUUGAAUAAAUUUCUGUGAUUGUGUCCUGACUUUGUGCUAGGCAGUAAGAUACUGAAUACACAAGAUGAGGCCAUAUACUAGAGUAGUAGAAACACCAAAACAAGGAAACAACAAACACAUAAGUCACUAUGAGUGCUUCCUGUAAAGAAAACAGAGAACGUUGUAUUACAGAAAAUUGAGGAAGUUUGUAGUUAGGCCUGGGAUGGGAGUGGGAGUGAAACAGUGUAUUCAGAGAAGAUCUUUUUGGGUGCUAUUUAAGCUGCCAGCUAGAGGCUGAGAAGGAGCAAGACACAUGAAAUUCUGAAAGAAGGAUAUUCUGGACAGAGGGGAAAAUGGAUGACAAUUAUUCAUCAUUUUGCCUUUCACACCCUGGAAUGACCAGGAAGCAGGAAGUGGGAUAAUCAUCAUCAUCAUCCUUUUUAAUAAAAUGUGUAGAAAAGAAAAUGUCCAAAUGAGAAUCUGGAACAU
ensembl:lncRNA